CGGGGCCUUUGCAGCCUCCAUACUUAGCGAUGGCCUCCUGGACCCACUUUCUCUCUCAAACUGUCUUUUCUCAUUCCUUUGACUCUGCUGGACUUCGUCAUCCCCACGACCCGGUGUUGAGUCUGAUCACCCAACAUCAUCAGGAUAGAAGCUUCCCUCUCCUCCUCCAGACCUUGUGGUGUGCACGUGGGAGUCCAGGGACUAGAAUACUCAUUUUCAAAGCCUGACAUUGGACCCGGGAGACAGGGAAAAACCAUCCUCAGGAAGUCACAGUGAGUUCCUUGAUUUAGUUAUACAACCGAGAGAAAGAGAGAGCACAGAGGUAUACAGCAUGUGAAACUUUGGACUGCUCAAAGAAGACAUUUUCAAACAUAUCUUUUCAGGACUGUCAAUAGGAACCGUAAGUGAGUUUCAGGUUCGCUCAUCUAAUUGUAGCAGUUAACUGACUGACAAGAAAAACGGGCAUUUUCCAGGAAACGGAAAGACUAGAAAUAAAAGUAGAAGAAAAAGGCUUAAACAAUAUUCUCCUUUAACUUUCUGUGAUACAUAUUCAUGCUAGUUUAAAAAAAAAAAUUCUCAAAGUAACUACAGCGGGAAUGUAGUAAGGUCACCAGAAGAAAUGUCCUGGGUCCAUUGGCCCAAUCUCUUACUGCUGGAUGAUGCGUGUGAAGAAACCAGAGAGGCGCAGAGUGAGGCAGUGAGGAAAUAAAAAUAGAGUCCGCGCUUUCAAGUGUUUCCUGAUCUGCUGGGGAAAAUGGUCAUAUUAACACAUGGAGUCAUGGCACAGUGUGUGCUAAGGAUCAUGGUAAAGGUGUACACAGUGAUUUGCUAACAAGAGGGAUAGAAGGUGUGGCUCAGGGAAUGACACAGCUGUCUGAAAGAGUCAAAAUGUACCACAGAGAACGUGACAGAGAUCUGGAUCUCAAAGAAAUGAGAGGUUGCCUAGGGAGCAACAACAAGGAGGGCAUUCCUGGCAGAGGAAAUGGCAUGUGCAAAGAGACAUCAAGAGGAUGAAGCAUUAGAAAUAUAACUAAAUUAUGGUUAUAGCUUGGGUGCCUAUUAAUAGAUCUGCUCAAUAUUAGGCAAAAACAAUAACAAUUGAGAAUUUGUAUAUCAUCUUUGGUGUCUUCUUUGAUAACUUAUUUUGUGUAUGUGUGUUUUUCUUUCCUGCUACUACUCUGGAGACUUGUUCCACUGGUGACCUUUAUGCAUUCUAAACAAUCGUAAUUUCACAGAGUAAGUUGUUCUCUUCUCCCUAUGUGUUUUGUCACUAGCCAUUGUUUUAAAGUAGCUUGCUUGGUUUUUUGUAUUGCAUCUUGUGAAAGCCUAGAUGCCUAGGGGCUUUCAUACAAAUGUAGAAGUCAAAAUACAUUUCUUCUUGGAAGGUAAUAAAGUGUGAAUGUUUUCAACAAAUAAAG
rnacentral:lncRNA from 10 species